rnacentral:rRNA from 1 species
CGGCGGACGGGUGAGUAACACGUGGAUAACCUACCUAUAAGACUGGGAUAACUUCGGGAAACCGGAGCUAAUACCGGAUAAUAUAUUGAACCGCAUGGUUCAAUAGUGAAAGACGGUUUUGCUGUCACUUGUAGAUGGAUCCGCGCCGCAUUAGCUAGUUGGUAAGGUAACGGCUUACCAAGGCAACGAUGCGUAGCCGACCUGAGAGGGUGAUGGCCACACUGGAACUGAGACACGGUCCAG